AGAGUUUGAUCAUGGCUCAGAACGAACGCUGGCGGCGUGCUUAACACAUGCAAGUCGAGUGCGCGUCCGUAGCAAUACGGAUGGCGCACGGCGCACGGGUGCGUAACACGUGGGCAAUCUGCCCUUCGAUGGGGAAUAACUCCGGGAAACCGAAGCUAAUUCCGCAUAACAUUCCUUGGACCUCGGUUCGAGGACUCAAAGCCGUAAGGCGUCGAAGGAGGAGCCCGCGCCCGAUUAGCUAGUUGGUGAGGUAACGGCUCACCAAGGCAAUGAUCGGUAGCUGGUCUGAGAGGAUGGCCAGCCACACUGGAACUGAGACACGGUCCAGACUCCUACGGGAGGCAGCAGUGGGGAAUCUUGCGCAAUGGGCGAAAGCCUGACGCAGCGACGCCGCGUGGGGGAUGAAGCAUCUCGGUGUGUAAACCCCUUUCGACUGGGACGAAUACCUCGCAAGAGGGGUGACGGUACCAGUAGAAGAAGCCCCGGCUAACUACGUGCCAGCAGCCGCGGUAAGACGUAGGGGGCCAGCGUUGUUCGGAAUUACUGGGUGUAAAGGGUUCGUAGGCGGUGUGGCAAGUCGGGAGUGAAAUCUAUGGGCUUAACCCAUAGGCUGCUUCCGAAACUGCCGUGCUUGAGUGUGGGAGAGGCGCGUGGAAUUGCAGGUGUAGCGGUGAAAUGCGUAGAUAUCUGCAGGAACACCCGUGGCGAAAGCGGCGCGCUGGACCACUACUGACGCUGAGGAACGAAAGCUAGGGGAGCAAACAGGAUUAGAUACCCCAGUAGUCC
rnacentral:rRNA from 1 species